rnacentral:rRNA from 1 species
GAUGAACGCUGGCGGCGUGCCUAAUACAUGCAAGUCGAGCGAACAGAUAAGGAGCUUGCUCCUUUGACGUUAGCGGCGGACGGGUGAGUAACACGUGGGUAACCUACCUAUAAGACUGGAAUAACUCCGGGAAACCGGGGCUAAUGCCGGAUAACAUUUAGAACCGCAUGGUUCUAAAGUGAAAGAUGGUUUUGCUAUCACUUAUAGAUGGACCCGCGCCGUAUUAGCUAGUUGGUAAGGUAACGGCUUACCAAGGCAACGAUACGUAGCCGACCUGAGAGGGUGAUCGGCCACACUGGAACUGAGGCACGGUCCAGACUCCUACGGGAGGCAGAAGUAGGGAAUCUUCCGCAAUGGGCGAAAGCCUGACGGAGCAACGCCGCGUGAGUGAUGAAGGUCUUCGGAUCGUAAAACUCUGUUAUUAGGGAAGAACAAAUGUGUAAGUAACUGUGCACGUCUUGACGGUACCUAAUCAGAAAGCCACGGCUAACUACGUG